AUCCUACGGGGCGCAGCAGUGGGGAAUAUUGCACAAUGGGGGAAACCCUGAUGCAGCGACGCCGCGUGAGUGAAGAAGUAUCUCGGUACGUAAAGCACUAUCAGCAGGGAAGAAAAAAAGUCCUUUGGACUUUGGACGGUACCUGACCAAGAAGCCCCGGCUAACUACGUGCCAGCAGCCGCGGUAAUACGUAGGGGGCAAGCGUUAUCCGGAAUUACUUGGUGUAUAGGGUGCGUA
rnacentral:rRNA from 1 species